rnacentral:rRNA from 1 species
GUGGAGACCGAAAGGUGACCGACCCUUCGGGGAGCUUGCACAGGUGCUGCAUGGCUGUCGUCAGCUCGUGUCGUGAGAUGUUCGGUUAAGUCCGCUAACGAGCGCAACCCUCGCUGUGUGUUAUAUGUGUCACACGGGACUGCCGGUCUUAAGCCGGAGGAAGGUGGGGAUGAUGUCAAGUCAGCAUGGCCUUUAUAUCCUGGGCUACACACACGCUACAAUGGCCAACACAAUAGGUUGCUAAGCCGCGAGGUGGCGCCAAUCCAUAAAGUUGGUCUCAGUUCAGAUUGUAGGCUGCAACCCGCCUGCAUGAAGAUGGAGUUGCUAGUAACCGCAGGUCAGCUAUACUGCGGUGAAUACGUUCCCGGGGCUU